AUACGGAGGGUGCAAGCGUUGUCCGGAUUUAUUGGGUUUAAAGGGUGCGUAGGCGGAUAAUUAAGUCAGUGGUGAAAGACUGCAGCUCAACUGUAGAGGUGCCAUUGAUACUGAUUAUCUUGAGUACAGUUGAGGUAGGCAGAAUUUAUGGUGUAGCGGUGAAAUGCAUAGAUACCAUAAAGAACACCGAUAGCGAAGGCAGCUUACUGGACUGUAACUGACGCUGAGGCACGAAAGCGUGGGGAGCGAACGGGAUUAGAAACCCCAGUAGUCC
rnacentral:rRNA from 1 species